CCGAGCCCGGACCCAGCCGGUUCUCUCUGGGGAGCAGAGCUCUCGGCGUCCCCUGCACCAUGGCCUGGCCUCUCGUCUGCCUCCUCCUGCUCACCUGCUGCUCAGGUUCCUUCUCCCAGCCUGUGCUGACUCAGGCUCCCUCCAUGUCUGCGUCCCUGGGAGCCACGGCCAGACUCUCCUGCACCCUCAGCAGUGAAUACAGCGAUUAUGGAAUUACAUGGCAGCAGCAGAGCCCGGGAAAGGCCCCUCGGUACCUCAUGUAUGUUCACAGCGAUGGAGAUGUACUCAAGGGCGAGGGGGUCCCCGACCGCUUCUCGGGUUCUGCCUCUGGGGCCGAUCGCUUCUUGUCCAUCAGCAACAUCCAGGCCGAGGACGAGGCCGAUUACUACUGUGUGAGAGGUUAUAGUGAUAGUUUACACCGUGCUACAUUCAGGGAGGAAGUGGGACAAAAACCCCCCUGCCAGCCCGGCCCCCGCCCCCCACAGCUGCCCUGACUUCUGGCCCAGCCC